rnacentral:rRNA from 1 species
UGGGGAAUAUUGGACAAUGGGGGCAACCCUGAUCCAGCCAUGCCGCGUGUGUGAAGAAGGCCUUCGGGUUGUAAAGCACUUUAAGUUGGGAGGAAAGGGUGCUGGCUAAUAUCCAGUAUCUAUGACGUUACCAACAGAAUAAGCACCGGCUAACUCCGUGCCAGCAGCCGCGGUAAUACGGAGGGUGCAAGCGUUAAUCGGAAUUACUGGGCGUAAAGCGCGCGUAGGCGGCUAGUUAAGCUAGAUGUGAAAUCCCUGGGCUCAACCUGGGAACUGCAUUUAGAACUGACUGGCUAGAGUGCAGAAGAGGAGUGUGGAAUUUCCGGUGUAGCGGUGAAAUGCGUAGAGAUCGGAAGGAACAUCAGUGGCGAAGGCGACACUCUGGUCUGACACUGACGCUGAGGUGCGAAAGCGUGGGUAGCAAACAGG